rnacentral:rRNA from 1 species
UGAAUGGAUAAACGGAAAAUAACUAUCUUAACCAAGUUUUUUAAAGUUACUCAAAUGAGUGAAAAGUCUCAUAUAAAGAAAAUAGACGAGAAGACCCUAGAAAUUUUUAUAUAGGGUUUUAUAUUUAUUAUUCUAUUUUGUUGGGGCGACAUAGUACACAAUUAACUUGCUAUAUAUAAUAUGCUAUUUAUUAGUCGAAAGAAUAAAUUACUCUAGGGAUAACAGCAUAAUUCACCUUUGAGUUUGUGACCUCGAUGUUGGACUAGGAAAUAUUUUACUUAGAAGGUAAAAUUAUUGGCUCUGUUCGAGCAUUAACUCCUACAUGAUCUGAGUUCAAACCGGAGCUCCA